AUAGCAGUUUCAGAGAAAUUGCUAUGUUUAUAAAUAGGUUAAUCGAGCCUCUAGUGGCUGUCUCUUGACAGCUGCUAGAGGCGCUUGCGUGCUUCUCACUGUGAAAAUCACAGUGGGAAGACGCAAGCGUCCAUAGGAAAGCAUUAUGAAUGUUGUCCCAACUAUUCACAGGGGAGUAUAAACCUCCAUGGAAUGUACAAGGGGGAAUAAUACAGGGAAAAACCCUAGUGGAUGCAAACAAAUCUGUCCCUAGGUAACCUCGGUAUCGGAAAAUCUAUAGUACUACUACAGGAAGCAGGAGACCCUUCAUAGAGCUCAAUGUAAACCGG